ensembl:snoRNA U8 U8 small nucleolar RNA
UCGUCAGUACGGUACAUCCUUACCUGUUACUCCUUCUUUGGAGAACAGUAAAUGAUGAUUGGAGCCUGCAUGACACGUGAUUAGUGUCUCUGCAGCAGCUUGGAGAUGGCGACGAACUCCUUGCUGCUCCUAUCUGAU